rnacentral:tRNA from 1 species
GGGCGUGUAGCUCAGCGGGAGAGCACCUCGUUGACAUCGAGGGGGUCGUCGGUUCAAUCCCGGCCACGCCCACCA